rnacentral:rRNA from 2 species
UGCAGUCGAGCGAACUGAUUAGAAGCUUGCUUCUAUGACGUUAGCGGCGGACGGGUGAGUAACACGUGGGCAACCUGCCUGUAAGACUGGGAUAACUUCGGGAAACCGAAGCUAAUACCGGAUAGGAUCUUCUCCUUCAUGGGAGAUGAUUGAAAGAUGGUUUCGGCUAUCACUUACAGAUGGGCCCGCGGUGCAUUAGCUAGUUGGUGAGGUAACGGCUCACCAAGGCAACGAUGCAUAGCCGACCUGAGAGGGUGAUCGGCCACACUGGGACUGAGACACGGCCCAGACUCCUACGGGAGGCAGCAGUAGGGAAUCUUCCGCAAUGGACGAAAGUCUGACGGAGCAACGCCGCGUGAGUGAUGAAGGCUUUCGGGUCGUAAAACUCUGUUGUUAGGGAAGAACAAGUACAAGAGUAACUGCUUGUACCUUGACGGUACCUAACCAGAAAGCCACGGCUAACUACGUGCCAGCAGCCGCGGUAAUACGUAGGUGGCAAGCGUUAUCCGGAAUUAUUGGGCGUAAAGCGCGCGCAGGCGGUUUCUUAAGUCUGAUGUGAAAGCCCACGGCUCAACCGUGGAGGGUCAUUGGAAACUGGGGAACUUGAGUGCAGAAGAGAAAAGCGGAAUUCCACGUGUAGCGGUGAAAUGCGUAGAGAUGUGGAGGAACACCAGUGGCGAAGGCGGCUUUUUGGUCUGUAACUGACGCUGAGGCGCGAAAGCGUGGGGAGCAAACAGGAUUAUAUACCAUGGUAGUCCAC